rnacentral:lncRNA from 1 species
CUCCGCGGCGGUUGCGCCUGCUGCGUGAGGGAGAUGAGAGAAGGGAGAGCCGAGAGUAUUCGCCGUUGCUCCGGCGAGCUUCCGAGGCGGCGGAGUUUCUGGCGGAACCGAGGGAGAGAGGGCUGAGCGGGGCUGUUGGCGACGUUGGGUGCGUGCGUCUGUGUGUGAGAGACGAGAGAUGGGGGAGAAGGGAGUCAGGGGACGGCG